GUACGGAGGCCUUGGCCAUGGUGGUAACCUAACAAUGUUCCCAGUGGGGGUGCCCAUUAGGGGAGGGGAGACUAACUGAAGUUUAGUUUGUUUAAAUUGAGCAAGAAUGCACAGCGGCACUCAGAUCUUUGGGGAAUGCGUUGGAAGCAUACCCUUUUCUGGGAUCUGUUUUCAUUUAUUUAAGGGGGAUGUUUGCAUUGCUCAAAAACUGCAAUACACAAACUUGCCAUACAAAAUGCCUUCCAAAUGUUUACACUGGUCUCUACAGAAGUGAGUAGAAAACAUGUAUAAUACUAGAUUGAAUUAAAGACCUAAGUGGAAAAAAAGUCGUCAUUGCUGACCUCUAAAAUAUCUGAUAGUUAAAACCCAACUAUUUUCUGUUGUAUGUGUGCAUAUAUGUACAAAACAUAUAUUCCCAAGUAUGACCAUUUAACUUGGAUAGGGAAGAUUAAGCAAAACUCCUUGAAGAAUAUGUCUUUAGAAUUGCGGGAAACUGGUUUUGAUUAAUAGGACACAUGCAAAUAUUCUCUUUUUAUUGGUUUGCAUAGAUGUGUAACAUGGAUUUUAUUGGAAUUUUAUUUUACAGCUUCUAAAGACAAAAUAAUUGAUUCCUCCACCCCCGAAAAACACCAAAUGUGAGAAACAAUAAGAUUGUAUGUUUUUUCACAUCUGACAAAAAUGUUAAGAUUUUAGUUGCUGCGUGUUAUUACAGCAAAAAAGAAUUCGGGAUACGAAUUGCCCUAUGCUAGCUUUCCGACAUUUCUGAAGUCUGUAAUGAAAAGAAUCUGUUCAGAAGAAACUUUCACUUUUUCUGCUUUCUAGCCUUUCUGGUGAUAAAGAACCAAGAGCAGACCGAGGAGACAAGGAGACUUCAGGCUACCAUGCUCCCUGGGUCUAACUCUGGUAGACAAAGUCUUCCUGAAAGUACUUCCUCUCUGACACCAGCUGAGAGACCACUGCACUUCCAUCACGUUAAAAAUGUAGGAAGGUCUAAGUUGAUCUCGGGUAUCAUUUAGGCCAAAACAAGAUUCUUCCUGAAAAACCCAACAUGAUUCAUGUGGAUUUUAACUUGAAGUCCGUUUUAUCAAAGUAAUUUUCGGAGGAUUUCUUUUCUAUUUUAAUCAAAAAGUGAAGUUGCAAUAAAUAUUCCCUCCCAAAAAAAGCCCCCCACAAUCUAUUUUAAUAUGUAAUUUCAGCAUGUAAUACUAUCCUUGAUAUCAAGGUCAAUAUUUUAAUUAAAUGUAUCAUCUGCUCUUGAAAAUGUAGAAAUUUCACUAAUAUGUAAGAAAUUAUAAAGGUGCCUAUUUUCUAUGGAAUUGUUACUUCUGUGCCUUGGAAUUUAGCGAUCCCACAUGCGAACUGGGUGCCAUGAAGCUCUGCUCAUGGAGACACGGUGUAUUCCUCACUCUGCUACCAAGCGCCAAGGUGAGUGAUGGGGGACAGAGGAUGAUGCUAUGAACAUUGAUUUACAGAAACAUCUUUGCUUUUCCUGUCAAGGAAUCUUACACUGGUUGCAGUCUCAUAUCUUAAUACAGUUUUUGAAUGAACAUUAACUAAUAUGAGGCAAUAUAAUAAAGUACAAGGGCAAAGAGCACAGCAUCAAGCUACCUGGGAUUUUAUACCACAUCUUCUACUUAUCAACUACGUGCCUUGAAACAAGUUACAUACCCUGCCUAUGCCUCAGUUUCCUUGUCUAUAAAAUGGACAUAAAAUUAUAAUUUUUACCCUGGAUUAUUUUGAGGAUUAAAUGAAAUAAUACAUGAAUGGCCCUGAAAGAAAGGUGCUUGGAACAUAGUAAGUCUUCAAUAAAUAUUAUGUAUAAAAUAGUACUGUAUGAAUAGGUCCUUAGUUUUAAUUGAGUUAAUUUGAACUAUUUUUAGUAUCUUCAGCAUUUUAAAGCAGUUAAUAGAUGCCUGUUUUAAUAAUACCAAAGACCUUGUUGACAUAGUAUUACCGAAAAUAUUUUGUAAUUGUUCUGGUAUCAGACAGCCAAAUCUGGAAAUAUUUAGAAACUGUUAACUUUACGAAAGACAGACCUGACCAAACAACUUAGAAGCAAGCUUCCUGAUAAAAUGUUUUUAAAAUUCCCCUGGAGAUAAUAUUGUGAGUUUAAAGUAGAAUAAUGAAGAGAUCAUGACAUAUUCCUUGGGACCUGUAACUGAUAUUAAUGAAGACAAGUUUAAUAUUCAAAUAUUUUUCAAAUUAUACUCAGUAUAUAAUUGUUCUUUACUGUGAACUAUUUUCUUGUAUUCAGACUUUAGCAUGUUUUCUCUACUGACAACUUUUAAAUACCAUAUUAAAUAUAUGAAAAAGAAUCCUAUUUGAAGAAGAAUCGUAAUAUCUAGAAGUGAAGUAAAGUGAAGUUGCUCAGUUGUGUCCGACUCUUUGCAACCCCAUGGACUGUAGCUUAUCAAGCUCCUCCGUCCAUGGGAUUUUCCAGGCAAGAGUGCUGGAGUGGAUUGCCAUUUCCUUCUCCAGGGGAUCUUCCCAACCCAGGAAUCGAACCAGGUCUCCCGCAUUGCAGGCAGACGCUUUACCGUCUGAGCCACCACGGAAGCCACAGAAUAUCUAGAAGAAACUGUCAAAUAUUUCCAUAAUCUGAAAGUUUCCUUAAUAAACUGUGCAUAAAGUGAAAGUGUUAGUUGCUCAGUCAUGUCUGACUCUUUGUGACCCCAUGGACUGUAGCUCGCCAGUGCAUAAGCACAGUGAAUUAGCACCAACGACACCUAUUCUGUGUCUCUGGGCUGCAGCCUCUCCCCAAGUUCAAGGUUACUUUGGUUGAAACCAGGCUGUCCUCUAAAGGGGCCAAGGUCAAAAGAGGUGGGGCUGAUCCACCGCCAUCUCAGGGUUAUAUACUUCAGUAUAAAUUAUUUCCUGCUGCUAAGUCACUUCAGUCGUGUCCAACUCUGUGUGACCCCAUAGACGGCAGCGUAGGCUCCCCAGUCCCUGGGAUUCUCCAGGCAAGAACACUGAAGUGGGUUGCCAUUUCCUCCUCCAAUGCAUCAAAGUGAAAAGUGAAAUACUGGAGUGGGGUUCCAUUGUCUUCUCUGAAAUUAUUUCCUAAUCCUGUUCAUUAUUAUUUGCUUCCCAAGGACAUAGAAUGUGCUGGAAACAUGCAUCUUCUUAAAAAUAUUUUGAUAUUUUUAAUUUAAUAAUGGUUGAAAAGUAAGAGCCAUGUUUCAAUUUUCCAGAGAUGAACUAUAGAACUUCUUUGUUAACCCACUGUAUUAAACUGGCUAAUGAACCACACAAAAUAUUUUUAAAUAUCUGUUAGAUAUAGUCACAUGACCUUUCAAAUAAUUCACUCUAACUUUGUCCAUACUGCCACCCAAUAUGAAAUGAUGAGACUGAUCAGAUAGUGAUAUCUUCUGAUGGAAACUAAGUAAUCUGAGGAUGAUAAGUUACAGUAGCAUCUGUGAGAAGAGUUGGGUAUAAAUCUUCCUCCUGCCAUUACAAGUACACCCUACAUCCUUGUGAAACCUUUGUAAUUUUCUAAAUUGGUUCUUAAAAUCAGUAUUUUUUUUAGAGUAAUUCUUUUCCUAGGCUAUCCCUUCACUUUUAUUUUCUGCGAAUGGAAGCACACUCAUUUAAUCUUUAGGAUUCAAAGUCAUCGUGGAGGGAAAAAAGUCUCAACACCAUAGUGAAUCAUUUGUAGCUGAAGGCGGCCUUUGUUCCCAGCCACCGGUUAGACUGCGCUUUCAUAGCCUGGUGCCUCUACCAGAGCCCUUGAUAUAUUCACGUAAAUGAUGGAAGAUACACGAGACGUGAAGGUGACACGUGAGUCUCCAGGAGGAAACUGAUACCCUGGAUGCUCGCUCAGGAGCCAUCCUGGCGUUAGCUGCACAGGCAGCCAUCCGGCUGCCCUCCCGGCUGGGAGGGAGGUGUUCAGGAGCAGCUGUCAGCAGAAAGAGGUAGAAAAGGGGCGAGGUCUCUUCAAUUCACAGAACUAAAAAUGGUUCAUAAAAAUCUCCAGUACUGUCUACUGAGAGCUGCCUUCUUUGCAAGAUUCCUGACGGACUGCCUCCAUACUUCUUUAGCCUCCUGGCUUAUCAGUUUCGGGGCAAUGUAUUACUCGGCCACCGCC
ensembl:lncRNA